rnacentral:rRNA from 1 species
GACGAACGCUGGCGGCGUGCCUAAUACAUGCAAGUAGGACGCAGUUGCGAACGGGUGAGUAACGCGUAGGUAACUGCCUAUUAGAGGGGGAUAACUAUUGGAAACGAUAGCUACUACCGCCUACUAGUAGAUGGACCUGCGUUGUAUUAGCUAGUAGGUAGGGUAAGGGCCUACCUAGGCGACGAUACGUAGCCGCCCUGGUAGGGUCAUCGGCACCACUGGGACUGGGACACUGCCCAGACUCCUCCGGGAGGCAGCAGUAGGGAAUCUUCGGCAAUGGGGGUAACCCUGACCGAGCAACGCCGCGUUAGUGAAGAAGGUUUUCGGAUCGUAAAGCUCUGUUGUUCAGGAAGCGGUACUUAACCAGAAAGGGACGGCUAACUACGUGCCAGCAGCCGCGGUAAUAC